AUUGAACGCUGGCGGCAGGCCUAACACAUGCAAGUCGAACGAGUGGCGGACGGGUGAGUAAUGUCUGGGAAACUGCCUGAUGGAGGGGGAUAACUACUGGAAACGGUAGCUAAUACCGCAUACUAUCGGAUGUGCCCAGAUGGGAUUAGCUAGUAGGUGGGGUAAAGGCUCACCUAGGCGACGAUCCCUAGCUGGUCUGAGAGGAUGAACAGCCACACUGGUACUGAGACACGGUCCAGACCCCUACGGUAGGCAGCUGUGGGGAAUAUUGCACAAGUGGCGCAAGCCUGAUGCAGCCAUGCCGCGUGUAUGAAGAAGGCCGUAGGGUUGUAAAGUACUUUCAGCGGGGAGGCGUUACCCGCAGAAGAAGCACCGGCUAACUCCGUGCCAGCAGCCGCGGUAAUAC
rnacentral:rRNA from 1 species